rnacentral:rRNA from 1 species
GACGAACGCUGGCGGCGUGCCUAAUACAUGCAAGUAGAACGCAUAAGGAGAAGCUCGCUCCUCUGUCAGGGUUGUGAACGGCUGAUUAACGCGUAGUUAACCUGCCUCCUAGCGGCGGAGAACAAUUGUAAACGAUAGCUACUACCGCAUAAUAGUACUUAGUGCAUGAUAUCUCCUCAAUAGGUGCAGUUUCAUCAUUACCAAAUGGACCUGCGUUGUAUUAGUUAGUUGGUGAGGUAACGGCUCACCAAGGCAACGAUGCAUAGCCGACCUGAGAGGGUGAUCGGCCACACUGGGACUGAGACACGGCCCAAACUCCUACGGGAGGCAGCAGUAGGGAAUCUUCGACAAUGGACGGAAGUCUGAUGGAGCAACGCCGCGUGAGUGAAGAAGGUUUUCGGUCGUAAAAGUCCGUUGUUAGGGAAAGACGAGUGAGAGAGUGAAAAGUUCACAGUGUGACGGUAUCUGACCAGAAAGGGACGGCUAACUACGUG